CUCGUGCUGGACCCCCGGAGCCACCAGCGCCGCUCCCGGUGUCGUUCUCCAGAACCCCCCGGUGCCCCGCCGUGCUGCACCCCCAGUGACUCCCAGCGCCCGCUCUCCCCGUGCUGGACCCCCAGGAGUUCCCAAAGCCGCUCUCUCCAGCCCGAGAGGCUCCCAGACGUGUCCUGGGCCGUGGGGCCAUGAUCGCACCUAGUGAGCACCAUCGGCUCCCUGGUGUCACGACUGCUGGGCACUGAUAGCUGCCGACAUUGGAGCUGAUGCUGCAGCACAGUCCCACAGCUCCUCUGCAGUUGGGGGUGCUCUGGCCCCUCCAGGAUGCUGCUCCAUGCGCACAUGAAGACACAGGCAUGGGCUGUGUCCCAUUCCCAGGAGAGGCAGCACUGGGCUAGUGAAGUGGUAGGGAAAUAAGAAAAUGAACCCAAACCAUCCUCUAUUGCCUCACAGCGGUAACUUGCAAGAAGGAGAAUCUUGGUGGGAAUCUAUGGUUCCAAGGGGUUGCUAAGGUGGCUCAGCCUAGCUGUGGCUUUGGGCAGACUUGGGGGCUCCUGAGGCUCCUCCCUGCCCAGCUGAUGUCCUUGGCUGCAGCCUGCAUUGUCCUGGUCAGGUAGCACAGCUGGAGCCAAAUAGCAGUUUAGACCAUGCCCUGGAUGAGGUCAGCCCACAGCAAAGGACAGGACAGGCUUCGGGCUGUAGCCCUAUUGCUCAGACAGGAGGAGAAUCAUGCUGUGAUUGGGAAAUUUUGUCUGACCACCCUGAGUAACCACUGUUGGCUGAAUGGCAUUCCCAGACUUCACACACUCUGGAUCAGUUGUGCUGGACACAAGGAAGGACAUGCUAUGCCACUCAGGACAACUCUGUGAGCCCAGGAACUGUGCACAGGGAGAAGCACGGUCUGCUUUGGGAGAAGGGGACACACAUCUGUAUUUGUGGUUUCAAUCUAUAAAUAAUAAAUACUGAGAGAGCAAA